UUAUUGAUUUAGACACUUUUCUUCUCUUUUCUCACUGCUCUCUCUGUUUCUUUUCAUUUCUUUUCUCUCACAAUCUUCUUCAGUGCUCUCUUCUUCUCUCUCUUCUCUGAACUUGCACUGAGUCAUGUGACUGCAAGAUGUCACAGAUGACACAGACUUUUCUUCACUCUUCUUUUUAUUUUUCUUUUCAGAAUAUUCACUUUUUCUCUUUUUCUUUUAUCUAUCUCAUCUGUUUUUCUUCUAUUGUUAGAAGUGCAGACAGUUUUCAGAUCAACUGAGAGAGUUAUCUCUCUCUGUUCACUAUAAAGUCUUUCAGACAUAGCAGCAGCAGUCCUCUCAGAAAUCACACUAUAGCUUCAUCAUGAAUGAUCAUACAUCAGAUCAGAAAUGAAUGUGCAACUCAGAAAAAUUCUUUUCAAUGAGCUGAGUCUUCUCAA
rnacentral:sRNA from 1 species